GACGAACGCUGGCGGCGUGCUUAACACAUGCAAGUCGAGCGGAGCGGCGAACGGGUGAGUAACGCGUGAGUAACUGCCCCCCUCUCUGGGAUAACAGUUGGAAACGGCUGCUAAUACCGGAUAGUGGGGGAUGACUCGCGUCCUAUCAGCUUGUUGGUGGGGUAGUGGCCUACCAAGGCGACGACGGGUACCCGGCCUGAGAGGGCGACCGGCCACAAUGGGCUGCGAGACGGAGCAAUCGCCUACGGGGGGCAGCGGUGGGGAGUAUUGCACAGUGGGGGAAACCCUGUUGCAGCAGCGCCGCGGGUGUGAUGACGGCUUUCGGGUGAUAAACCGCUUGCGGCCAUGAAGCGGUAGUGGCAGAAGAAGCACCGGCUAACUACGUGCCAGCAGCCGCGGUAAUAC
rnacentral:rRNA from 1 species